GUGCAGCAGGCGCGAAACUCCGCAAUGCUCGAAAGAGUGACGGGGAUUCCAAGUGCCUACGCUUAGCGUAGGCUGUUCAGAUGCCUAAAAAGACAUCUGGAGUAAGGGCUGGGUAAGACGGGUGCCAUCUGCAGUGGGUAAUGAAAACUUGCUACUGCAAGGCAUAAGCCGCCGCGGUAAUACCCGCAGCCCGAGUGGUAGUCGCUUUUAUUGGGCCUAAAGCGUCCGUAGCCGGUCUGGUAAAUGCCUGGGGUAAAUCGUGGGGCCUAACCUCACGAAUUCC
rnacentral:rRNA from 1 species